CUUUGAUUAUAUUUUAAUUUAUAAUAAAUAUUCAAUUCAAUUCUAAGUUAGAAUCUUCAUUAAUGUUAAAUUGUAUAUUAAAAUGUGUAUAGUAAACAAAAAUUCAAGAUUAUCUAUACUAAUUAUUUCUGGCGAUUCUGAGAAUAGUAAUGAGUUGAUAAUGUAAUAAUGAAACAGGAUUGUAAUACGGUAUGCGUCAAGUGCAUCGAAAACGUCAGAACUAGGAACGUGCAUGCCGCGUGAAUCGACACACGCCAGUGAACCCGAAGAAAAGACUGACAAUGAAAGGGGGUCAGAUCUGUGGUACACGCGCAAUAUGGGAUAAUUUUGCACUGUUUACUCUUUAAUUUCCUAUUGUCGGUUUAAAUGAGAAAUUAAACGUUCGAUAAAACGUUUCGUGAAAACUCGAGUGUUAUUUCGCAUAAUAUCAGAGAAGAAUGGAAUAUAUGUAAAUGAAUUAAUUUAAUCCAAAUAUAUUUCGUGUACGAUUAAUUAUAAUUUAAUAUCGUAAUCAAGGUUUCCAUUAUUUCUGCGAUACGUUUUUUGAAAUGUUUCCAAUUGAAAUAUAAACCACAGGAUCGCAUUGACACAUAUGCGGCUUUUCAGUAAAAAAAAAAA